UACGUAGGGUGCAAGCGUUGUCCGGAAUUAUUGGGCGUAAAGAGCUCGUAGGCGGUCUGUCACGUCGGCUGUGAAAACCCGGGGCUCAACCCCGGACUUGCAGUGGGUACGGGCAGACUGGAGUUCGGCAGGGGAGACUGGAAUUCCUGGUGUAGCGGUGAAAUGCGCAGAUAUCAGGAGGAACACCGGUGGCGAAGGCGGGUCUCUGGGCCGAUACUGACGCUGAGGAGCGAAAGCGUGGGGAGCGAACAGG
rnacentral:rRNA from 1 species